rnacentral:rRNA from 1 species
CAGCCGCCGCGGUAACACGAAGGGGGCUAGCGUUGCUCGGAAUGACUGGGCGUAAAGGGCGCGUAGGCGGUUUUGACAGUCAGAUGUGAAAUUCCUGGGCUUAACCUGGGGGCUGCAUUUGAGACGUCAAGACUAGAGUGUGAGAGAGGGUUGUGGAAUUCCCAGUGUAGAGGUGAAAUUCGUAGAUAUUGGGAAGAACACCGGUGGCGAAGGCGGCAACCUGGCUCAUUACUGACGCUGAGGCGCGAAAGCGUGGGGAGCAAACAGGAUUAGAUACCCGCGUAGUCCCUGUCUCUUAUAC